UCCGUAGGUGGAUAAUUAAGUCAGAGGUGAAAUCCUGCAGCUCAACUGUAGAAUUGCCUUUGAUACUGGUUAUCUUGAGUUAUUAUGAAGUAGUUAGAAUAUGUAGUGUAGCGGUGAAAUGCAUAGAUAUUACAUAGAAUACCAAUUGCGAAGGCAGAUUACUAAUAAUGCACUGACACUGAUGGACGAAAGCGUGGGGAGCGAACAGGAUUAGAUACCCUGGUAGUCC
rnacentral:rRNA from 1 species